GUUCAACGAGGAAAGGGCUUACGGGGAUACUAGGCACCAGAGACGAGGAAGGGGUAUAAGCGACGAAAUGCUUCGGGAGUGAAAAUAAGCAUAGAUCCGGAGAUUCCGAAUAGGUUAACCUUUCAAAUGCUGCUGAAUCCAUGGGCAGGCAAGAGACAACUGGCGAACUGAACUCUUAGUAGCAAGAGGAAAAGAAGCAAAAGCGUUCCCGUAGUAGCGGCGAGGAAAUGGGAGCAGCUAACCGUGAAAACGGGGUUGUGGAGAGCAAUAGCUCGUGUGCUAGAGCGAAGCAGUAGAAUGCUGCACCCUAGAUGGCGAAAGUCAGUAGCGAAAGCAUCACUAGCUUACGCUCUGACGAGUAGAUGGGGCACGUGGAAUCCGUGUGAAUCAGCAAGGACACCUUGCAGGCUAAAUACUCCUGGGUGACCGAUAGCGAAGUAGUACCGUGAGGAAGGGUGAAAAGAACCCCAUCGGGGAGUGAAUAGAACAUGAAACCGUAAGCUCCAAGCAGUGGGAGGAGGGGACGGGGCUCUGACCGCGUGCCUGUUGAAGAAUGAGCGGCGACUCAUAGGCAGUGCGCUCUGGUUAAGAACCCACCGGAGCCGUAGCGGAAAAGCGAGUCUUCAUAGGGCAAUUGUCACUGUUAUGGACCACGACUGCGGUGAUUAUCCAUAUGACAGGAUGAGUUGGGUGAAAUAAGUGUGAGGUCCGAACCGAUGAUGUUGAAGAAUCAGCGGAUGGUUUGGUUAGGGGUGAAAUGCCACUCAACAGAGCUAGCUGGUUCUGCCGAAAUGCGUUGAGGCGCAGCAGUUGAUGGAAUCUAGCGGGUAAAGCACUGUUUCGUUGCGGGCCGCGAAGCGGUACCAAUCGAGGAAACUCUGAAUACUAGAUAUGACCUCAAAUAACAGGAGGUCAAAGGUCGGCCAGUGAGACGAUGGGGAUAAGCUUCAUCGUCGAGAGGGAAACAGCCCGGAUCACCAGCUAAGGCCCUAAAUGACCGCUCGUGAUAAAGGAGGUAGGGGGUGCAGAGCCCAGGAGGUUUGCUAGAAAGCAGCACUUGAAAGAGAUGCUUUGGUAAUAGCUCACUGAUCGAGCGCUCUUGCGCGAAGAUGAACGGGGCUAAGCGAUCUGCCGAAGCUGUGGGAUGUAAAAAUACAUCGGUAGGGGAGCGUUCCGCCUUAGAGUGAAGCACCCGCGCGAGCGGUAGUGGACGAAGCGGAAGCGAGAAUGUCGGCUUGAGUAACGCAAACAUUGGUGAGAAUCCAAUGCCCGAACUAAGGGUUCCUCCGCAAGGUUCGGUCCACGGAGGUGAGAUCAGGCCUAAGAUCAGGCCGAAGCGUAGUCGAUGGACAAAUAGGUGAAUUUCCUUAUGUACCUACCCCUUGUUGGUCCCGAGGACGAGGAGGCUAGGUUAGCGAAAGAUGGUUAUCGGUUCAAGGACCGUAAGGUGCCUGCUUUUUCAGGGUAAGAAGGGUAGAAGGGAAAAUGCUCGAGCCAAUGUUUCGAGUACCAGGCGCUACGGCGCGAGUAACCAUGCCAUACUCCGGAAAGCUCGAACGGCCUUCAACAAAAGGGUACCUGUACCGAAACCGACACAGGUGGGUAGGUAGAGAUACCUAGGGGCGCGAGACACUCUCUCUAAGGAAUCGUCAAAUAGCCCGUACUUCGGACGAGAAGGGGUGCCUCCUCACAAAGGGUCGCAGUGACCAGGCCCGGGCGACUGUUUACCAAAACACAGUCUCCGCAAAGUCGUAAGACAUGUAUGGGGUGACGGCUGCCCAGUGCCGGAAGGUCAAGGAAGUUGGUGACCUGAUGACAGGGGAGCCGGCGACGCAAGCCCCGCUGAAAGGCGGCCGUAACAUAUAACGGUCCUAAGGUAGCGAAUUCCUUGUCGACGGUAACUUCCGACCCGCACGCAAAGGGCGUAACAGAUCUGCGGCACUGUCAUCGAGAGAGAGGCUCGGUGAAUAGGCAUGUCUGUGAAGAUGCGGCACUACCUGCACCUGGACAGAAAGACCCUAUGAGGCUUCACUGUUCCCUGGGAUUGGGCUAUUGGGCCUUUCCUGCGCGUUAGGUGGAAGGCGAAGAAGGCUCCUUCCGCAGGGGGGUCCGAGCAUCAGUGAGAUACCACUCUGGAAGAGCUAGAAUUCUAACUCUGUGUCAGGACGUACAGCCAAGGGACAGUCUCGGUAGACAGUUUCAUAUUGGGCUGGCCUCCCAAAAACGGUAACGGAGGCGUGCAGGUUUCUCGGGCGGACGGAGAUUGGCCCUCGAGUGCAAAGGCAGAAGGGAGCUUGACUUGCAAGAACCACCCAGUCGCAGCAGGAGAAAGUCAGGCAGUGACCGCCGCGCAGAAGGCCGUCGCUCACGGCAUAAAAUUACUCUAGUGAUAAACAGUGACUGAUCUAUCCCCAAAAGCUCAUUACCGACAGGGACGGUUGGCACCUCGAUGUCGGCCCUCU
rnacentral:rRNA from 1 species